UUCAUGUCCGCUUCGAAUUUGAGACUGUUGUCGGACUCUGCGCUGGCGAUAUCAACGAUGAUCUCUCCUAGAUAAGACGUGGUGACUACUGAAUGCGAUGUGCUAGGUCCGAUGAAGCCUUGGCUCGGGUCAUAGCUGUGGGUGUUGCUCUCAUACUCUACGAUGAUCCAUGAGAGAAGCUCAGUCUUGCAGUUCUCGGCGAUGAGGUAGAACUCUAUGCGGCUUCCCCAGAACACGCUGGUGUGGACGUUGAAGGCGCUAAUGAUGGCGCAGGGUCGUUUGGGGGUAUCGCUGAACAUCGCCGAAGGAUACAAGCUGUAGUUCGGUGGCAACACUCUUUCAGCUGCUUCUGGG
rnacentral:rRNA from 1 species